rnacentral:misc_RNA from 1 species
GAUGAAGAACGUAGUGAAAUGCGAUAAGUAAUGUGAAUUGCAGAAUUCAGUGAAUCAUCGAGUCUUUGAACGCGCAUUGCGACCCCUGGUAUUCCGGGGGGCAUGCCUGUCCGAGCGUCAUUGCCGCCCUCAAGCACGGCUUGUGUGUUGGGCCCCCGCCCCCCGGCUUCGGGGGGCGGGCCCGAAAGGCAGCGGCGGCACCGCGUCCGGUCCUCGAGCGUAUGGGGCUUCGUCACCCGCUCCGUAGGCCCGGCCGGCGCCCGCCGGCGACCCCAAUCAAUCUUUCCAGGUUGACCUCGGAUCAGGUAGGGAUACCCGCUGAACUUAAGCAUAUCAAUAAGCGGAGGA